UUUAGGGAGACCUGCUCGAUUCUCACCGAAACCCAAACAUUAAUCGGGAGAAUCAGCUAUCCCAAGGUCGUUCGAGACUAGACAAUUUCUGGCUUUCAAACUCUUUGUUCGGUUCAGCAUCAUGUUCAUCAAACUUGAUGCUCCACUCUGGACCAGGCGGAACUAAAACACAGCAACUUAUCUGAAGUCAUCUAUAAAUGUUAGAGACCAGAAAGACUGCUGGAUUUUAUUCAGCAAUGAACCUUGAAAACUGCAUAAAGAAAAGAAUCAAAGGGAAAACCUUUUAAAUCCAAGGUGAUUUAGAAGGCAUCCAAAAAAGAAGCCCAAAUUGUGGUCAAGCUACAAAGGGCUGACGGUGGAUACCUAGGCACACAGAGAGAAACUUAUCUGAAGUCAUCUAUGACUGUUAGAGACCAGGAAGACUGCUGGAUUUUAUUCACCACUGAAACUUGCAAACUGCGUAAAGAAAAGAAUC
rnacentral:misc_RNA from 1 species